CUGUUGCGUAAAGUAUUACAUGGACUAAUGAUAGUGGGAUUCAUCACUUCAAAUAUACAGUUAGUCCUCAUUUAGCACCCACAAUUGGGACCAGCAACUUGAUUGUUAAGUGAAGCAGUCGUUAAGUGAAACCACGACUGUGCUUAUGAUCUUACUUCAGCUCUCCUUUGCUUUUUAGACCUGCAAAGGUUCCAAAUGUGAGGAUUGGUCAUAAAGUUGCUUUUUCAUCACCAUUGUAACUGAAUGGUUGCUAAACGAGGCAGUCGCUAAAUGAGGACUACCUAAUUCUUUAAAAUCUUCAUUGAUUGUUGAUUUCUUUCCAAUCAUGCGACCUAGUGCUGAUAUUUUUAUUUAAAGCUUAAAACAGAUUAUCCGAAGACUUGCUGUCAUCAACAAGAGACUGCCUGUUUCGUAUCAUCAAAACACUGCUCUAAUUGGGCCUGCCUUUGGUUAGUAGGAGGAUAGUUUUAAGGCCCAAGGAGUAGCAUCCAGCCUAUAUGACAACAUUCCAAGAAAUGUUCAUGUGAUGCUUGUUUUUUGUUCAACUUAGCAUUCCAUUAUAUCUGAUUUAUCUGAAGAAGCUGUUAAAAAUGCUUAUUGAGCUUUGUUAGUAUGUUUUUUUUAUCUCAAUUGUAUUUGGGACAAUUUUCUCUGAAAAAUGAAACAGGGAAUACACGUUGAUCUGUGCUAUAUAAAUCCAGUCCAUUCCCAUAAAAUACAAUAAAUUAAAGUAAAAAAAAUGGCAGCUUUGUGGCAGAGUAUACCAGGUUGCAUAAAUAGCAUCUGAGAGAGUAAAAGACGACAACUGUAGGCGAGCUGAUGCCCUCCAGUGCUUCAGACUUCAAUUCUUAUCAGCCUCAGCCAGUGGCAGAGAACAGUAGGAUUUUCAGUCAGUAAUAUUUGGAAGACUGUACUUUCAACUUCUGGUGAAAACCAUUAAUGUAAGAGUCUUCCUACCGUCCUUUAGCUACUAUUCCUGGCAAAAAUCUAUGCUCUGGCAUUGGUCUCUUUGAAUUAUUUUCAAUUGUUUCUGCUGGUUUUGAAGCUUAGGGAGUAAGAGAAAGAGAUUGGAAUGUUUGUUUGUUUGUUUGUUUUUAAAGAGACCUCUUGGUUUAAAAAGCUGACUUCACUCGAAGUGUGUGGUCAUACUUUUUCUAUCUCCAUUGCUGAAUGUCAUGUAGCUAAAAUAGCAUCAUCCAUACACAAGAGGAAGGGACGCGCGGCUUUGGGGUCAUUGCAAAGUUCACAGGGGCACCAAAAAAUGAAAAGGAAAAGAAAAAGAAAAAGAAUGGUAGGAGGGGGUAGAACAUCCAAAAUUAGUUCAGUAAAGACUGAGUUUGUUCAGUGGCCAUGGUAUGUAGACUGAUUAUUGGGGG